GGUGAGGCACAGCAAUGGCAUCUGGGCAGUUGCAAGGGCUGAGGUCAGUGGCCAGAGAUCCCUGCAGGGGAGCUGCUCAACGUAGAAGAUUGAAAAUGCAGACGGGAGAUUGCAGAGAACCUUCCAGAACAUAAGCCAUGGGGAAGGUCCUGAUAAUGAGGACAGACACUGUUCAGGCUGCAGGGAGACCGGAUCAGAAAGGGUGAAAGCAGUGUGCCCGCAGGAGGGGGCCAGGCGGUCCCAGGGUGAGGGUGCCAGGGGAGACAGCAAAGCAGCAGGCGCUGAGAGAGACAGAGCAGACGGGUCAGGAGGUGACCAGGGUGCACGUGCAUUUUUGAGAGCCAUCAGCUCCCAGCCGGGGACGUGGAAGAGGAUGGACCCCUCCCAGGGAGAACGGAGAAGCUGCCAAGGAAAGAGACAGAUGGAGUUCCUUGUGGCAGUUGGCGGUGUCCUGAGGACUUGCACUGCAGUAUCCAGAGAUGAUCCGGGACCUACUGUGAAUUCUACCUUUAGCACAUUGCAGAUGAGAACCGAUCUUUCCACUGUCUAGAAAGACCUGCUCACCCUUCCAACAAGAAAGAUAAAAACACAGGAGCGCUACAUGAAAGAUAAGAAAGGACCACACCCAUCAAAACCAACUCUAUGGGAAGAAAAACUCAAGGGGCUGUCUGUGCACCGUGGCUUCCUGAGCCAGGCGUUUCCUUCCCUAAAGCAACACAUUUAGAACCGUUUUCAGCACUGAA